AACACGUUUAUCACGUGUUGCAACUUGGUGCUAGAAAUUCAAAACAUAGAAACUCCCUCCACCUGACUUCAGAUCCCCUCCGCCGCGUCGGAGGUCGCCUCUGGCGAUGGAGGAGCCCUAAUAUCAAAACACCAUACAUCAACGCCUUCAUCUUCUUCCCCUGAACACGAAUCUUACCAUGAAAAUCUCCAAUUCCUCUUAAAUCACUAAAAACAUGACAGAAUCCACAUGAACUCUAGAUCUUAGAUCUGAAAUUAAAUCAUGUUCUCUUGGAAUCAAAACCCUAGAGGUUAUGGCUUUGAUUCCCCUAACUGAACCUCACAUCUCGGUAUAAAAAAAGAGCAAAACGAUGAAGGCAUGAGAACUCACCGGCGUGGAGGUCACCGGAAUUUCAGGAUUCUUGUAGAUUGGAUUGAACUGCUACAGGGUGUUAACACAUGACCUGCUUGUUGGAUGGAAAUGGAUUGUGUUGGCUAGGCUGCAGACUGUUGUGUUUACUUGCUACAUAACCAUAGUUAUGAAGGUGAUGGAUAAUGCAAAUAUGAUCUUGAAGAACAAGGACAUUGGGGAUUUUGAAAUGAUGAGUUGACUUUGGUCAACUGAUUGACCAAAAAGUCAACUUAUGCAAAACUGUAAUUUUCUUUGUAAUUUUUUCCAAUGCAUCAUGGACUAUGUAAUAUAAUGAAUAGAAUGUAUUUUCUUUAAUUAAGAAUGUUCUAAUGACACAAUGAAAUAAUUGGAUUCAACUGGCCA